rnacentral:rRNA from 1 species
UCGCCUACAUGAAGUCGGAAUUGCUAGUAAUCGCGGAUCAGCAUGCCGCGGUGAAUACGUUCCCGGGCCUUGUACACACCGCCCGUCACACCAUGGGAGUCGGUAACACCCGAAGCCUGUAGUCUAACCGCAAGGAGGACGCAGUCGAAGGUGGGAUUGAUGACUGGGGUGAAGUCGUAACAAGGUAUC